UACGUAGGGUGCGAGCGUUGUCCGGAAUUAUUGGGCGUAAAGGGCUCGUAGGCGGUUUGUUGCGUCGGCUGUGAAAUCCCGAGGCUCAACCUCGGGUCUGCAGUCGAUACGAGCAAACUAGAGUGUUGCAGGGGAGACUGGAAUUCCUGGUGUAGCGGUGAAAUGCGCAGAUAUCAGGAAGAACACCCGUGGCGAAGGCGGCUCUCUGGGACGGUACUGACGCUGAGACGCGAAAGCGUGGGGAGCGAACAGG
rnacentral:rRNA from 1 species